rnacentral:tRNA from 1 species
AGGCGCGUAGCUCAGCGGGAGAGCGCCACGUUGACAUCGUGGAGGUCGGCGGUUCGAAACCGCCCGCGCCUACCA